AGAUCAAUCCUAAUUAAAUUCUAGUAAAAUCCUAAAUUUUAACUAAAUCCUAAACCUUAUACUAACUCUAUUUAAAUCCUAAAUAAAUCCUAGUAAAAUCAUAAAUCCUAACUUUUGACCAAAUCCUAAACUAAAUUCUAAGAAAAUUUCAAUCAAAUCCUAGAUCUUAAAUCAAUCCUAAUCAGUCUUUAAUCAAAUUCUAAAUCUUAAACAAACUCUUAAUUAAUCCUACAACAGAUUGAAUAUUUAAUAAUUAAUGCUUGAACUUUUGAUUUUGACUCUAAAUUAUCAAAUUUUAAAACAACUAAAUUAGCAACAAGAAUUAAAAAAAUUAAAGAAAAUUGCACAAAUCAAUUGCAAGAAAAGCUUUCAAAACCUCUCAAUUAUUGGCCACUUUCCUUCUCUAACUUGA
rnacentral:lncRNA from 1 species